CGGGGUUGCGGACAGUGUCUGGUGGGUAGUUUGACUGGGGCGGUCUCCUCCCAAAGAGUAACGGAGGAGCACGAAGGUUAGCUAAUCCUGGUCGGACAUCAGGAGGUUAGUGCAAUGGCAUAAGCUAGCUUGACUGCGAGCGUGACGGCGCGAGCAGGUGCGAAAGCAGGUCAUAGUGAUCCGGUGGUUCUGAAUGGAAGGGCCAUCGCUCAACGGAUAAAAGGUACUCCGGGGAUAACAGGCUGAUACCGCCCAAGAGUUCAUAUCGACGGCGGUGUUUGGCACCUCGAUGUCGGCUCAUCACAUCCUGGGGCUGAAGUAGGUCCCAAGGGUAUGGCUGUUCGCCAUUUAAAGUGGUACGCGAGCUGGGUUUAGAACGUCGUGAGACAGUUCGGUCCCUAUCUGCCGUGGGCGCUGGAGAAUUGAGGGGGGCUGCUCCUAGUACGAGAGGACCGGAGUGGACGCAUCACUGGUGUUCGGGUUGUCAUGCCAAUGGCAUUGCCCGGUAGCUAAAUGCGGAAGAGAUAAGUGCUGAAAGCAUCUAAGCACGAAACUUGCCCCGAGAUGAGUUCUCCCUGAGACUUUAAGUCUCCUGAAGGAACGUUAAAGACGAUGACGUUGAUAGGUCGGGUGUGUAAGCGUAGCGAUACGUUGAGCUAACCGAUACUAAUGAACCGUGAGGCUUAACCUUACAACGCCGAAG
rnacentral:rRNA from 1 species